GACAUAUCAAUAAGCGGAGGAAAAGAAACCAACAGGGAUUACCUCAGUAACGGGCGAGUGAAGCGGUAACAGCUCAAAUUUGAAAAUCUGGCCUCACGGUCCGAGUUGUAAUUUGUAGAGGAUGCUUCGAGCAUGGUCUGGCCUAAGUUCCUUGGAACAGGACGUCAUAGAGGGUGAGAAUCCCGUAUGCGGCCAGGUGCCUACGCUCAUGUGAAGCUCCUUCGACGAGUCGAGUUGUUUGGGAAUGCAGCUCAAAAUGGGUGGUAAAUUUCAUCUAAAGCUAAAUAUUGGCCAGAGACCGAUAGCGCACAAGUAGAGUGAUCGAAAGAUGAAAAGCACUUUGGAAAGAGAGUUAAACAGUACGUGAAAUUGUUGAAAGGGAAGCGCUUGCAACCAGACUUGCGCGCGGCCGAUCAUCCGGUGUUCUCACCGGUGCACACGGCCGUGCUCAGGCCAGCAUCGGUUUUGGCGGCUGGAUAAAGGCCCUAGGAAUGUGGCUCCUCUCGGGGAGUGUUAUAGCCUAGGGUGCAAUGCAGCCUGCUGGGACCGAGGACCGCGCUUCGGCUAGGAUGCUGGCGUAAUGGUUGUAAGCGGCCCGUCUUGAAACACGGACCAAGGAGUCUAACAUCUAUGCGAGUGUUUGGGUGUCAAACCCAUACGCGUAAUGAAAGUGAACGGAGGUGAGAACCCUUAAGGGUGCAUCAUCGACCGAUCCUGAUGUCCUCGGAAGGAUUUGAGUAAGAGCAUAGCUGUUGGGACCCGAAAGAUGGUGAACUAUGCCUGAAUAGGGUGAAGCCAGAGGAAACUCUGGUGGAGGCUCGCAGCGGUUACUGACGUGCAAAUCGAUCGUCAAAUUUGGGUAAUAGGGGCGAAAGACUAAUCGA
rnacentral:rRNA from 1 species